AGAGUUUGAUCCUGGCUCAGGAUGAACGCUGGCGGCGUGUCUAAUACAUGCAAGUCGAACGGUCCGCAAGGAUAGUGGCGAACGGGUGAGUAACGCGUUGGUGACCUGCCCUGAAGAGGGGGAUACCGGAUCGAAAGGUCCGCUAAUACCGCAUAAUGUCUCGCUAGUUAGAGAGGCGAGAAGAAAGCCGAAAGGCGCUUUAGGAGGGACCUGCGUCCCAUCAGCUAGUUGGUAGGGUAGUGGCCUACCAAGGCGAUGACGGGUAGGGGACCUGAGAGGGUGGCCCCCCACAAUGGAACUGAAACACGGUCCAUACACCUACGGGUGGCAGCAGUAGGGAAUAUUGGUUAAUGGGCGAAAGCCUGACCCAGCAACGCCGCGUGAACGAUGAAGGCCUUCGGGUCGUAAAGUUCUUUUUACAGGGAUGAGGAAGGACAGUACCUGUAGAAUAAGUCUCGGCUAACUACGUGCCAGCAGCCGCGGUAACACGUAGGAGACGAGCGUUAUCCGGAUUUACUGGGUGUAAAGCGCGUGCAGGCGGUAUGGUAAGUUGGAUGUGAAAGCUCCUGGCUUAACUGGGAGAGGUCGUACAAGACUGCCAAACUAGAGGACAGCAGAGGGGAGUGGAAUUCCGAGUGUAGCGGUAAAAUGCAUAGAUAUUCGGAAGAACACCAGUGGCGAAGGCGGCUCUCUGGGCUGUACCUGACGCUCAGACGCGAAAGCUAGGGUAGCAAACGGGAUUAGAGACCCCGGUAGUCCUAGCCGUAAACGAUGUGAACUUGGCGUAGGUGGGUUCAAAUCCAUCUGUGCCGAAGCAAACGCGAUAAGUUCACCACCUGGGGACUACGGCCGCAAGGUUAAAACUCAAAGGAAUUGACGGGGGCCCGCACAAGCAGCGGAGCGUGUGGUUUAAUUCGAUAUUACACGCGAAGAACCUUACCUGGCCUUGACAUGCACGUGGUAGAAGUGUGAAAGCAUAACGACCCCGCAAGGGGAGCGUGCACAGGUGCUGCAUGGCUGUCGUCAGCUCGUGUCGUGAGAUGUUGGGUUAAGUCCCGCAACGAGCGCAACCCCUGUGUCCUGUUGCCACCCGGUCGAGAGACUGGAGCACUCUGGACAGACUGCCUCGCUUAAACGAGGAGGAAGGUGGGGAUGACGUCAAGUCAGUAUGGCCCUUACGGCCAGGGCUGCACACGUACUACAAUGCCCGGCACAAAGGGAAGCGAAAUCGCAAGGUGGAGCAAAUCCCCAAAAACCGGGCUCAGUUCAGAUUGUCGUCUGCAACUCGACGGCAUGAAGCUGGAAUCGCUAGUAAUGGCGCAUCAGCUACGGCGCCGUGAAUACGUUCCCAGGCCUUGUACACACCGCCCGUCACAUCAUGAAAGCCGGUUGUACCCGAAGUCACCGUGCCAACCCGCAAGGGAGGCAGGUGCCGAAGGUAUGGCUGGUGAUUGGGAUGAAGUCGUAACAAGGUA
rnacentral:rRNA from 1 species